CGUACACUCCUGCGGGAGGCAGCAGUGGGGAAUAUCGGACAAUGGGCGCAAGCCUGAUCCAGCCAUGCCGCGUGAGUGAUGAAGGCCCUAGGGUUGUAAAGCUCUUUCACCGGUGAAGAUAAUGACGGUAACCGGAGAAGAAGCCCCGGCUAACUUCGUGCCAGCAGCCGCGGUAAUACGAAGGGGGCUAGCGUUGUUCGGAUUUACUGGGCGUAAAGCGCACGUAGGCGGACUAUUAAGUCAGGGGUGAAAUCCCGGGGCUCAACCCCGGAACUGCCUUUGAUACUGGUAGUCUUGAGUUCGAGAGAGGUGAGUGGAAUUCCGAGUGUAGAGGUGAAAUUCGUAGAUAUUCGGAGGAACACCAGUGGCGAAGGCGGCUCACUGGCUCGAUACUGACGCUGAGGUGCGAAAGCGUGGGGAGCAAACAGGAUUAGAUACCCCAGUAGUCCCAUGAU
rnacentral:rRNA from 1 species